UGUGGUGUAGCCUUUUCACCGGGAAGCAGUUUGAAGUUUGACAGCUAGCUGGCAGCAGGGGGCAGCGGUUAAAAGCAAAACAUUCCGAAAGUAGCAACAAGUGUACGGAAAAUCUCCACCGCAAAUUGCCCUGCCAGCUGAUAGUUUUCUAAUUACACCGGCGGUGACAAAAUGUUGCCCGGAACAAGUGCAGCACGGUGCGUCGGUUCACACAUUCGCCGAUUUUCCCACAGCGGUCAAUGGCCGCGGGUAAUGGUCGCUCGCACAUGCCCGCAAAUUAGUUGUUCGGUGCCAAAGAAAGUGUUCGACAUCCGGCAAGACGUACUGUUUCGUAUGGCAAGUGUAAACAUUCGCGGCUUCGCCACUACCGUGCAAAGCCUACAAGCCAACAGGACGGCCAACAACAACGCUUGCUACAGUGCUAACACGAUGUCGAUCGCUACAUACGAGGAGGUGCUGGACCUGCCCAACCACCCGGAGAAACUGCUGAUCGAUGUCCGCAAUCCGGAUGAGCUGGCCGACACGGGCAAAAUUCCUACCAGCAUUAAUAUUCCCCUGGAUAAGGUAAAGCAGGCGUUCGGGCCGGAAACGAGCGACGAAACGUUUGCCCAACAGUAUGGAGUGCCGAAGCCGGGGCUGGAUCACUAUCUGAUCCUUUCCUGCCGCACCGGUCGGCGUAGUCAGAUGGCACUUGAAGCGAUUGCCGAGCUUGGUUAUCGAAAUGCCUCAGCUCGAGGAAGGAUUGAAGCUGGACGAUGAAGCGUUUAAAGCGAAGUUCGGACGCGACAAGCCGAGCACCAGCACGGAAGUGAUUUUCCACUGCAAGAUGGGUGGAAGGGCGCAAAAGGCGACGGAUCUGGCUAGCAGUCUCGGAUUCACCAACGCCCGCAACUACAAGGGAUCCUGGACGGAGUGGGCCGAAAAGCAGGGAAAGUGAGACGGGGAAGAAGUGGAUUUUAGACUCUACUUUAAAGAGGCCUGUUAGCUCAACAUUCCCAGUUUACGGUGGACAGUGGAAUAAACUACAUACGUUCAGCCUAA